rnacentral:rRNA from 1 species
ACGGAAGGCAGCAGUGGGGAAUAUUGCACAAUGGGGGAAACCCUGAUGCAGCAACGCCGCGUGAAGGAAGACGGUCUUCGGAUUGUAAACUUUUGUUCUUAGUGAAGAUAAUGACGGUAGCUAAGGAGCAAGCCACGGCUAACUACGUGCCAGCAGCCGCGGUAAUACGUAGGUGGCAAGCGUUGUCCGGAAUUACUGGGUGUAAAGGGAGCGCAGGCGGGAAAUCAAGUUGGAUGUGAAAUGUCGGGGCUUAACCCCGGAACUGCAUCCAAAACUGAUUUUCUUGAGUGGAGUAGAGGUAGGCGGAAUUCCGAGUGUAGCGGUGAAAUGCGUAGAUAUUCGGAGGAACACCAGUGGCGAAGGCGGCCUACUGGGCUUUAACUGACGCUGAGGCUCGAAAGUGUGGGGAGCAAACAGGAUUAGAUACCCUGGUA